UUUAACUGAAGAGUUUGAUCAUGGCUCAGAUUGAACGCUGGCGGCAGGCUUAACACAUGCAAGUCGAGCGGGGGAAGGUAGCUUGCUACUGGACCUAGCGGCGGACGGGUGAGUAAUGCUUAGGAAUCUGCCUAUUAGUGGGGGACAACAUCUCGAAAGGGAUGCUAAUACCGCAUACGUCCUACGGGAGAAAGCAGGGGAUCUUCGGACCUUGCGCUAAUAGAUGAGCCUAAGUCGGAUUAGCUAGUUGGUGGGGUAAAGGCCUACCAAGGCGACGAUCUGUAGCGGGUCUGAGAGGAUGAUCCGCCACACUGGGACUGAGACACGGCCCAGACUCCUACGGGAGGCAGCAGUGGGGAAUAUUGGACAAUGGGGGGAACCCUGAUCCAGCCAUGCCGCGUGUGUGAAGAAGGCCUUAUGGUUGUAAAGCACUUUAAGCGAGGAGGAGGCUACUUUAGUUAAUACCUAGAGAUAGUGGACGUUACUCGCAGAAUAAGCACCGGCUAACUCUGUGCCAGC
rnacentral:rRNA from 1 species